AACGAACGCUGGCGGCGUGCUUAAUACAUGCAAGUCGAACGUGAAUCCCGACUUCGGUUGGGAUGAAAAGUGGCGAACGGGUGAGUAACACGUAAGUAAUCUGCCUUCAAGUUUGGGAUAACCCUGCCAACGCGGGGCUAAUACCGGAUGUGGUCCAGCUGACACAUGUUGGGCUGGAUUAAAGGUCGCGAGGCCGCUUGGAGAUGAGCUUGCGGCCCAUUAGUUAGUUGGUGAGGUAACGGCCCACCAAGACGAAGAUGGGUAGCCGGCCUGAGAGGGUGUACGGCCACAUUGGGACUGAGAUACGGCCCAGACUCCUACGGGAGGCAGCAGUAGGGAAUUUUGCGCAAUGGACGGAAGUCUGACGCAGCAACGCCGCGUGAAGGAUGACGGCCUUCGGGUUGUAAACUUCUGUUGGAUGGGAAAAAAAGCCUAGGAAUAGGAAUUGAUGGUACCAUUCGAGUAAGCACCGGCUAACUACGUG
rnacentral:rRNA from 1 species